rnacentral:misc_RNA from 1 species
CUGGGUUGAGAGGCUGAAAGAGGAUCUCAUCUUUAAAUAACAGUAAAAUCCUAAAAAUUCCAAAACUUGGCUCAAAUUUGCAAUUAUCACUGAUCAUUUUAAUUUUGUCAAUUAUAUACACAAGCUUUCAAUUUGGUCUCAGUUACAGCCACAUUUAGAGGGGCACAUGUCAAUUGUCAUAACUCCUAAAUUUCUAACACCACAUAAUUUAUUGAUAAAAUUCUCACAUAAGCAUAUUUAAAGAAAAAGGAUAGGGGAAUGAAGGAGAAGGGUUGGGGGGAGAGG